CCUGCGAAGGCAGCGGAUCUCUUAAAGCCGUUCUCAGUUCGGACUGUAGGCUGCAACUCGCCUACACGAAGCUGGAAUCGCUAGUAAUCGCGGAUCAGCACGCCGCGGUGAAUACGUUCCCGGGCCUUGUACACACCGCCCGUCACACCAUGAGAGUCUGUAACACCCAAAGCCGGUGGGAUAACCUUUAUAGGAGUCAGCCGUCUAAGGUAGGACAGAUGAUUAGGGUGAAGUCGUAACAAGGUAGC
rnacentral:rRNA from 1 species